GUUGGGAUGGCAGAGCCCGGCCAUUGCAAAAGACCUAAGCCCUUUUUACAGAGGUUCAAGUCCUCUUCCUAACU
rnacentral:tRNA from 5 species